rnacentral:tRNA from 1 species
GGGUGAUUAGCUCAAUUGGUAGAGCACCUCGCUUACAACGAGUAGGUUAGUGGUUCGAUUCCACUAUUACCCA